rnacentral:lncRNA from 1 species
UUAAGAGAUACCUAAGUGCUUAGAAGUCACUCCAUGGAAACUCAGGGCUCCUAUAGUACCAGAGCCUAAAGCAGUUCAGAUGCCAGAACUGGAUAAAGUGAUGCUGGAAUAAGCCCGCAACACCUUAGAUUUGCUGUCUUGUGGCUCAUACAGUUCUGACAGCAAAGACAAUUGGAAGUUGAGUGAUCUGUCUCCGCUGCCUUUUCCUUUGCUCAUGAUAGUCUGUAAGGUGGUGGCCAUCACACAAGGACUGUGAAGACUUCAACU